rnacentral:ncRNA from 1 species
UAAAAGUUUGAUUCUUUCUUUUGGGUUUGAAAUUUGAAUUACUUUAUAUGUAAGUUUUUACUUGUUUUUCUAAAUGGUUUUUUUUCAGUAUAUAAUUUUGGUUUUUAUAURAAUAUAAAAUCAGGAUUUUAAUAUAUAACUGACAAAGGUUGUGCCAGCCGUCGCGGUUAUACAGUCAGUUAAAUUAAAUUUUUUUGUUUAAGUAUUAAUUUGUUUUGUUUUUAAUUUUAAUUUAAAUUUUUAGGUGAAAUUUUAAUUUAUUAUUUGUUUAUAGGUUAAUGAUUAUACGAAAAUUAUUAAUAAACUAGGAUUAGAUACCCUAUUAUAAUAAUUGUAAAUUUUUCUUAAUAUUAAUAGUUGUGUUCUUUAAAUUAAAAGAAUUUGGCGGUUAUUUAAUCUUUCUAGAGGAACCUGUCCUGUAAUUGAUAAUCCACGAUUGAUUUUACUCUAAUUUUGCUUAUAUAUCGCUGUCAUUGAGUGUUUUAUAAGAUUAUUUUCUUUUGUUUUUAUGAAUAAGAUGUUAGGUCAAGAUGUAGCUAUGUUAGAGAAGAGAUGGGUUACAUUUAAUUUAUUAAUGGAUAAGAAUUUGUAAUUUUUCUUUAAAAUUGGAUUUAGGUGUAAUUUUUAUAAAAUAUUAAUUUUGAUUUUAGUUCUAAAUAAUGUACACAUCGCCCGUCACUCCCAUUUUAAGUUGGGAUAAGUCGUAACAAAGUAGGCCUAACGGAAGUUGGGCCUGGUUAGUU